rnacentral:rRNA from 1 species
UACGUAGGCAGCGAGCGUUGUUCGGAGUUACUGGGCGUAAAGGGUGUGUAGGCGGUUCUCUAAGUUUGGUGUGAAAUCUCCCGGCUCAACUGGGAGGGUGCGCCGAAAACUGGAGAGCUAGAGUACUGGAUGGGAGAGUGGAAUUCCUGGUGUAGCGGUGAAAUGCGUAGAUAUCAGGAGGAACACCGGUGGUGUAGACGGCUCUCUGGACAGUAACUGACGCUGAGACACGAAAAGCGUGGGUAGCAAACAGG